rnacentral:tRNA from 1 species
UUAGAUAUGUAGCUCAGUGGUAAAGCACUUGCCUAGCCUGCAUGAAGCCUUGGGUUCAAUCCCCAGUACCAAAA